GAGGAGAUGGACAAGUUGGUCUAAGGUGUCACAUUAAGGCCGUGAUCUCUUUGGAGGCGUGGGUUUGAAUCCCACUCUUUUCA
rnacentral:tRNA from 1 species